rnacentral:rRNA from 1 species
UGGUGGAGUGAUUUGUCUGGUUAAUUCCGUUAACGAACGAGACCUCCGCCUGCUAAUUAGUCUUGCUACUCAUUUGAGUGGUAUUGUGUUUACUUCUUAGAGGGACUUUUGGUGACUAACCAAAGGAAGUUGGAGGCAAUAACA